AUUUGACUCAACGCGGGGAAUCUUACCGGGUCCGGACACACUGAGGAUUGCAGACAGUUGUCUUUCCCUCCCUUCGGGGUGGGAUUACAAAAGAUAACAGAUCUUUCAUGAUCAUGUGAUGGGUGGUGCAUGGCCGUUCUUAGUUCGUGGAGUGAUCUGUCUGCUUAAUUGCGUUUCAAAUUUUAUAUUUGUUAACAUGCGAGUCUUCAAUGACGGCCACUCCACCUUAUAGACAUUAUAUGAUAUGCACAUUUGUGUAUUUGAUUAUAACUUGUCUGGAGUCUGGCUCGAUUUUUUUGACUCAAUUGAACGCAACGGACGUGAUUGCAAGUCCUUGUUGAACAAAUUAUAUAUAUACUACUUCAUCAUUAGUAUAUAUAGUUCGCUUCUCAUGUCGUAGUCAAACGGGCGGGCGUCUUAAUUGGCGCGGUCACGAGGCUUAAUAUGCUGCGGCUGGGGAAAACUUGGGCGACCGCUGUAAUACUUCUCUCUUAAACCA
rnacentral:rRNA from 1 species